UACGUAGGGGGCAAGCGUUGUCCGGAAUUAUUGGGCGUAAAGAGCGCGUAGGCGGUCCGAUUAGUCGGCUGUGAAAGUCCAGGGCUCAACCCUGGAAAGCCGGCCGAUACUGUCGGACUAGAGUCCGGAAGAGGCAAGUGGAAUUCCCGGUGUAGCGGUGGAAUGCGCAGAUAUCAGGAGGAACACCAAUAGCGAAGGCAGCUCGCUGGGACGUUACUGACACUGAGGCGCGAAAGCGUGGGGAGCGAACAGG
rnacentral:rRNA from 1 species